UCUUAAUAACAUCUCCAAGGUUGGCCAGAAUACCACCAUUUAUCUUGCCAGGCGUUGCAAAAAUCUCGAGUUCUUGGAUCUUUCAUGGUGUCGCCUCCUUACAGACGAGACACUAGGAUUAAUUGCAGACAGUUGCUGGUCUCUCAGGUUGCUCAAAAUUUUUGGUUACACACAGGUCGUCCAACGUGAUAAGGUGCAAAAGCAGCAUGAAGGCCAAGACAGUUGAGCUUCAUAUGAGCUACUACCAUCGAUCAUCUAUAUGUAGUAUAUACAGUAUAUCCUAGCUAGUUAGCUUUUCUAAGUUUUAGUUUUAAUUUCUUGGGUUUGAUUUAUGAUGUUGUUUUUUACUGUUGGUUAGGAUUUUGGUUAGUAAUAUUGAU